GUGAGUCAUCGAAUCUUUGAACGCACCUUGCGCCCCUUGGCCAUUCCGAGGGGCAUGCCUGUUUGAGUAUCAUGAACACCUCAACUCUCAUGGCUUGCCGUGAUGAGCUUGGACUUUGGGGGUUUUGCUGGCCUCUGUGGUCAGCUCCUCUUAAAUGAAUCAGCUUGCUAGUGUUUGGCGGCAUUGUGGGUGUGAUAACUAUCUACGCCCAUGGUUGUUUGCCAGGUAACCUUCAGCAGUGGAGGUUCGCUGGAGCUCAUAAAUGUCUCUCCUCAGUGUGAGACAGCAUUUUGAACGUUCGAUCUCAGAUCAGGUAGGACUACCCGCUGAACUUAAGCAUAUCAAU
rnacentral:rRNA from 1 species